AGUCGAGGGGCAGCAUGGUCUUAGCUUGCUAAGGCUGAUGGCGACCGGCGCACGGGUGAGUAACACGUAUCCAACCUGCCGUCUACUCUUGGCCAGCCUUCUGAAAGGAAGAUUAAUCCAGGAUGGCAUCAUGAGUUCACAUGUCCGCAUGAUUAAAGGUAUUUUCCGGUAGACGAUGGGGAUGCGUUCCAUUAGAUAGUAGGCGGGGUAACGGCCCACCUAGUCAACGAUGGAUAGGGGUUCUGAGAGGAAGGUCCCCCACAUUGGAACUGAGACACGGUCCAAACUCCUACGGGAGGCAGCAGUGAGGAAUAUUGGUCAAUGGGCGAUGGCCUGAACCAGCCAAGUAGCGUGAAGGAUGACUGCCCUAUGGGUUGUAAACUUCUUUUAUAAAGGAAUAAAGUCGGGUAUGCAUACCCGUUUGCAUGUACUUUAUGAAUAAGGAUCGGCUAACUCCGUGCCAGCAGCCGCGGUAAUACGGAGGAUCCGAGCGUUAUCCGGAUUUAUUGGGUUUAAAGGGAGCGUAGAUGGAUGUUUAAGUCAGUUGUGAAAGUUUGCGGCUCAACCGUAAAAUUGCAGUUGAUACUGGAUGUCUUGAGUGCAGUUGAGGCAGGCGGAAUUCGUGGUGUAGCGGUGAAAUGCUUAGAUAUCACGAAGAACUCCGAUUGCGAAGGCAGCCUGCUAAGCUGCAACUGACAUUGAGGCUCGAAAGUGUGGGUAUCAAACAGGAUUAG
rnacentral:rRNA from 1 species